rnacentral:lncRNA from 1 species
UACACCGUAGAUAACCAGGCAGGCAGAAUUCAUCUCCGAGGAACUGGUUCUUUUUCCUUGAAAGCUGAUUCAUGGCCCUUUGGUUAUGGCAGGAAGGGUCCCAGUUCAUCUGCAGAGAUGAGCUGCUCUGCACAGAGGAGCGAUAGGAAUUCAGGAGUUGUCUUCUUGUAGCUAAAUGAUGAGUUGUAGGGGUAAGAUUGGAACUGGGAGAAGAGAGGAUACAGGAGAAAAGCUUGAGUAAAAAGAAGGUGAAAUGGUAGAAAGCUGGACUCUAAGAAGGAAAGUAACUGGUGAGAAAUUCUGACGGAUGGCCAAGGAACUCGAGGAAUGGAGAUGUCUAAUGUUCUAUUUUAAGUUGGUUCCUGCUCCUUGGUGCUGCUCUAUUACCUCGAAACUUUCAGAAAAAGUCUGUUCAGGUCACUAAAUGCCAUUUCUGGCAUCCCUGAACUUGUGAAUGACCAAUGAUCAUAUGAUCAUGUGAGUUACUAUCAUCUCUAACCUGU